ensembl:lncRNA
CUCUGAACUUGCUAGCUCACGCUGGCUAGCAAGUUUUGUUGGAUUUGUUUCAUUAUUAUUAUUAUAAGAGCUGAUUUAUGUCAACAUGUUGGGAAAAUUAACCAAAGGGCCCGCGUUAGCUAACCCGUCCGCCGCGGGCAGACAGGAGCGAGCUAGCUUGUCCUUCUCUAGCGCUGGCUAGUUAGCUAGCUAGAAAACUGGCUCCGUCCCCUCAAGGCCUCUUUCACUAGCUCAUAACAACAACGCUGAAGUGAGAAAACUUUAUGUAUUUACAUCUGACAGAAUCCCCGGCUUAUGCUUCCUUCCCGUUGUGGCUCAAAAAAUGUAAAAACUAAUGUUUGGCAGCCGACCGCGCCGUCACUGUCACUCAGGUAUGUUGAUGGAUGGCAUCAGUGACUAUUUGUGUCAGUUGAGUUUUAAUGGACGUUUCAGAGUAAUUUACGGCCACUUGUCACGACUAGUUUACGCUUCCAGAGCCAAAGCUUCCCUCCCUCCCUCCGUCUGAAAAAGAAAAUGCCUUCUGUGUACAAUCAUCGACUCAUCCUGCUGCUAGAAUACCUGUUAUUAUCCUCGACAGGUAUGAAGACCCACGGCCCGGUUCCCCUCCGCACUCGCACGUUACCUAGUUUCCCCGCUCGCGUCUUUUCAAAGGCCAAACAUACCACCGUGCUGUACUAGCUGGAGGUGUCCCGACCGUCUCUGUCCACCUGUCUGUGUGGAGAUUUACUGCCACGCUUCAUUGUAGCAUUAUUUCACCUGGCUGGAAAGGUCCGUGCUGCACUGGUAGCUGGUGAGCUACGUGAUGGAUUGGUGGUUUUGAUCGAUCACACGCAGUUUGUUGAUAAAGGCAACAAUUGACCGGAUAAAUGUUUUUUUGGAUUGGGUCCAGCAGAGAAACUGUUUAAUAAAACCACAGUUGUCUCAGGCCUUGAGACGUCUGAGAGGCCAAAAACACGUCAGAUGAAAGAUUCACUGAGGAGAUGGCGUUGUAGUCAAAAGACAUUUGCUCUUUUUGCUUUAGCAGGAACAUCAGCUGACGCAUGUGAUUUGAGUCAUAUUUUUAAAAAUGCCCCCAAAGCCAGAUAUUGUUUUGGAGUUUUACAGAAGGUCUGUUUUCUUUGAACUAAAACACAGUUUGCAUGUUUGUUCCAGCGGAGUUCAUCAGGGAACAUGUGUAGGUCCUUUUGCAUUUGUUUAAAUGCAAUCGGUGCAACAUUAAACAUUGGCAGUAGAAACGUUACAAACUAAACAGGAACGUUGGCUCACACGCGUGUGACUGGUCGACAGCGUCGCCUUGGCGAACGAAGGACUACUGCGCUGAUAAUGUAAUUUUGCCCCCAAGCAUUCGGCAACUUUGAGACAUAUGAAAGGAUCUUCGAGUUAGUGAAUGUUUUCAUCAUUAAAAACCAUAUCACUUUCAGCCGGAUGUGAAUUUACCCCAUGUUGACCUUUGACCUGCCCGCCUCUUCCACCCAUACACAUGGUAACAGCCGCUAUUAGCAUCGACGCUAGUUUCGUCAUAGAGUAAUCCGUGACGGCCGUCACACCUGAGGCUCUUUGGAUUUUUAGAGUGUACAAGGGGGGAGGUUCUUAUCUGAUCCAGACCACUUUAGGACAACACCUGUGGCAUCCAGGACGAUAUAUUACCACCUAAGUAGCCGUGAGCCCCCCCCCCCCGGUUUAAUGUCGAGGGUGGGCAGAGUUGUCAGACAGCUGCAGGCAGGAAGUGAAGAUGACAGACGGGAACGCCUUGUACUCAUGGAGCAGUGAAACGAGGAGGUUUAACGAGCAAGAGGUGAUCGGGUUCAAAACCGAGCAAGAGGAGAAAAAGAAAAGCACUCUUACCUGAAUACUUCCACCACCGCUGGUCAUUAUUGAUCGCUGUGAUCGUUUGCUCUGGUCUGGAAGCUGAUCUGAGAUCUGUCAUCCUGUCACUGUCUCUCUUUGAUCUGCGGGACGAGCUCAGAGGAUGUUUAUUCCUCACCUAAAGUGUUGACAGGUGUCAAGGGGGGGCUGCCCAGGCCCGGGGACUUUACAGGCUUUACCUGAGACCAUAACAGCUCCCCAGUGGAGACAAUUAGCCGCUAAACGCCUCCCUCCUCGCCACUGUUUGUUUACCCCCCCCCCGGUGUUUGCUUCUCUUCCUCGUUGGUGUUAGAACGUCCGGAGAGCCGCAGAAGACAAGAAGUUUGUGGUUGACACCAAAGACGUCUGUUUAGUUUGUACUUAAUGGAUUGUGUUAACGCAGCCUUGUUGUUAUUGCUUCCUGUUUUCACAAUAAAAGGUUAUUGUCAGCUGCAUGAGACUAAAAGUAAAAGCAUAUUUGAAAUCUGCUUGAAAUAAAAACAGAGGCUUGAUAUUUACCGACUUCCGUAAUAAUGCAGUCAACACGGUGUAGUAAGUAGCAGGUAUUCUGUGGUAUUUCUGUGAAACUUGUGAAGUACUUAAAGUGUCUCCUGAGGUAAAAUUCCUUUCUAAGUACAAUCAAUAAAAUGUAUAACGAGGACAUGCAGAGGCAGUAGAUGUUUUAAUCAUUCAAUAAUACAAGUACUUAUUAAAAAGUACCCACAGAAUGUUAUAUAUAUAUAUAUAAAGACGUGUUUUGCAAAAAGUUAGAACUAUUGAUGGUCCUUCAAAAGGAGGUUGUUUGAAACAGGGGACAGAAGACAGCUCUCUGUGAGGACGUGUCUCUUCCUGCUGAGACACAUCGGCCAUCAUCGCCCCCGAGCCCCCCGCUGAGCCUCUGCUUCACAUGCAUAUGAGAGGUGCUACUCUAUGAUGGAGUCACAUCGCUGGUUUAACACGAGACUUCACAGCAGAAGGAGAACAACACGGACGUCCUCCAGCAGAUGUUUGAAGGAAAGAAGACGUCGCUUCUCCAAUUCUCAACGUUUGAAUGAUUUUAGGUUGUUUGAAAAGGAGACAGAAACAAAAAGAGAGAGUUAGAUACGGAAGGAAGGGAGCGGGGAACCAAGUUACCAAAUCACUGGAUAAAGUGGGGAUUUAAAAUCGAAAGAAGAAGAAAUUUAGCAACUAAAACCAAAAAUCAAAUGAGAUGUCUGUGAGGAAAAAGGGAAGAUGAUCAAUAAGAUGAAAAAAAAAGACUUUAUCCCGUCACUUGCGUCACAGAUUUCAAUCUAUCUGAUGACUAUCUUAUUAAAUAAUUGUUUUAAUGUUAAAACUAUGUGUGUAUAUGGAUCUAUAGAUACAAUGUGGACUCGUAGAAACCCCCCGGAGGACCCUGGGGAGCCCCCACGCCUCAGUUUGAGACCCCCCCCGUCACUCAGCGCUGAGCAGCUCUAAACGGUAAUUUAUGUGUUGUUGUUGAGGACAAAUUGCUGCAGGAGGAGAACCAUUAGCUAAACGGCUCGGAGACGAGUCUCCACCUGCAGCAGCUAUGGGAAAAAUGUCCCCACUCCACCGGUUGGGCGGGGGGGUUAAUUUUCAACAUUUAAAUACAUUUUACAAUUAAACAACUAGACAAUUAUAAAUAAUGAACAAGAUGAAACAUAAGAGGAAAUUUAAAUAAAAACAAACGUAAUUGUUGAAGUUCUUCACUACGACUAAAAUCGAAUGUCACAU